GUUCAAGUAAUUCUCCUGCCUCAGCCUCCUGAGCAGCUGGGAUUACAGGUGUGAGCCACCACACCUGGCCUUGGAUAGGUACAAUUCUUACCCACAUUUUAUAGUAGGAGAAUUCUGGCAUGGAGAAUGAGGCUGUUUGCUCAAAUUCAGAUGGUUAAAUGGAGAUCAGGAUUUGAAUUGGACAGUUUAACUCCAGACCCCAUGUUCUGAAUUACUAUACAAUAUAGUCUCCAUAAUUUCUCUCUGUUUUUUUCCUUCUGAAUAAAUAGGGGGAAAAGUCUGCCUCAUAAAGUUAACAGGAUUAAUAUAGUUUCUGUCAUAUUGGGUGCUCAUUAAAUGUACUUUCUAAAGCUCACCUGCAUAAAUGCUAAAUUAAUGGUUCAAAUUUUUUUUUUCUUUUUAGCAUUAUGGACAUUUA